GAUAGUAGUAGUAGUUCACAAGGAAAAUGUAACGCCGUUCUAUGUGUUGUUAUAAAGCAGAUACCUAACUGCAUAGCUCAAAUGUACCAUCUAAUAUUAUGUAUAUUUACCUUAUCGAGAGUUUUACAAAAAUAUCGCGUGCUUUAUGAGUUAAAAAAAUCUAUAAUGUUAUUACUAUUUUAAAUGAUUCAUAUCAAGAACAGCAAGCUUCUUUUUGCUGGCUCCACAUCAUUCUGCUAGCGAUACGAACGAAGAUUUAUAAAGAGUACUGCAAACUGAAGCUAUUGAUCAUGGCACGUGUAUAUCAGUAAUGAAACCAAAUGAACUCUCGAUAGUUUAAAAGGCAUUCACAUACAUUGUUAAUACAUGGUGUACUACGUUGAUAUGAUACUUCGGUAAAAUCAAUGUGCAUACUAAACAUAACAACAGAAUUGCAAAUAAAAUAAUGGAUUGUUUUGGUGCGAUUUAUUAUUUGGAAUAUUAAGUCUGAGGAUGUCGAGCUUACAAGUUAUAAUUGGUGAUCUCUAUCAACUCAUUGUGUGGUACAGUGUCUAAUUAAAUGCCAACAGAAUUAUCAUUCUCCUUUCAUGGAUCCUUUUCCGUGUAUAUAGGAAAAUCGCUUAAAUGUUCAUGUUGAACGCUUAAGAUGUAUACAGUAUACAAAAUUUUUUAUGUUUAUUUUUCCUACUUCUUUCUAAAGUUGUAUUGAAUCAUUGCAUUGAAGAAAUAUCAAUAAAAAUCAAUCAAGUGACUGAAUUCUACAAUUACUCCAUAGUGUCUUAUUUAUUGAAUAAAUGAAUAUUUACGUACCAAAA